AGAACCAGGAGUUGAUGCAGAGUUACAUGUUAACACAUAUUCGAAAGUCACACCUCGACAGCAUUUUUGCAGUGUUGACACAUUUUAAAAUCAAGUGUGUUCUGACAGAUGCGCUGAAUGAUGGUGUCAAAAUCCUAACUAUUUGACCAUAUUAUUCUCCGAUUUUCUCAGGUAAUGUACCGUAAACUUUAAUCAGGACAUGGGAUAUGGAGCAUGUAUGAUUCCCAACAACAUUACUUUGAAAGAGGCAUUACAUUUUAACAACAUAGAAGAAUGAAUCAAAAUGGCUCCCGUCUUACCAUAGAUAUAGUUUCCGUAGUGUAGUGGUUAUCACGUUCGCCUCACACGCGAAAGGUCCCCGGUUCGAAACCGGGCGGAAACAGCUUUUAUCGCUGAGGGUCUUACAUAAUGCUGUAAAACAAAUGUGAGCCAGUGCGAGCCAUACAUAUAGUAGCUUUACAGAGACUAUUUUGACUUAUUGGGGCCAGUGAAUGCAUUUGUUUCAUGUAACUGUGAUGACAACUACGUACUGCAGGUAGAGCUAGUGUAGUUUGGAAUUGAAUUUAAUUUAAAUUAUGAGUAAAUAAUCAAGUUUAAAUAUAUGUGAAAUAUGUUUAAUUAAUUUGUAGCUCAGCCAAAUACAUUAGUUAGUCUAGUUAGAAAUUGUGGUGUAAAGUUGGGACGCUCUCCCAGUUCUGUUAAUUGGAGAUAUGUGUUGUUAAACACGUAAGUUGAUAAUACAGUUUGUUACAUACCAUAUAUGAAGCAUGUCUUAAAUAUUAAUGUAUUACAUUAUUACAAACUGAAGUGUUACUAAUGAAUCCUCUAAUAAUAGAGUUGUAAGUGAAGAGUAGAACUAUGUCGUGUUGAAACUAAUUCCCUUUUGUAGAAAUGUGAAUUAUAAUGCUAUUUUUCCUGGCUGUAAAUCACAAACCUGCCUUCUUACAUGUAAACAUUACAAAAUGUGGGCCCCUUAACAGUGACGUGGCCAUGUGGUCACAUGUGAGUUACAGCUAAGAUGCACCCUCCCCCUGAGUGGUGAGCAUGGGGAAUUAGCUCAAAUGGUAGAGCGCUCGCUUAGCAUGCGAGAGGUAGCGGGAUCGAUGCCCGCAUUCUCCAAUGAUUCUUUUUUUCCCCACACCUUCAGAGGUUAUACAUACAUACUGUGGGAAAUCUAAAAUAGGUUUUGUUGAUUUUACUGUCACUGAUUCUGAUUAAACAAUGCAGAAGUUAACCCAAACUCAGUGGAUCAGUGAGCAGUAGGUUUGCAAUCAGCAAUAGGUUGACGUGGGAGCUAAUGUAGAGGAGUAUAGAAGUUGAGACAGCUUAGAUUUAAAUUCUAUCUUGUAUAUUAAAACAAUGUUAGCAUUGCAAAAGUGAUUUCAUUUGUGAUAUGGGAACAGAAUAAGUGUGUGGGAAUUUGAAACAGGUCUCAUCUGCCUAGUAUUCACACAUUGGUGGUUCUGUGGUAGAAUUCUCUCCAGCCAUGCGGGGCCAGUCACAAAUAAACAGGAUAGGAUUGAAGCUUUUUGCCCAGGCAUUUCAUUAUUUAUUUUAGAUGCAAAUGACAGGGUUCGUACAUAUAUCCAAUGGGAGAUACAUGAGUAGGAGCAUUGAAAAUACUUGGGGAUUAAAAUGAAUUGCUUGAAAUGUAAAGUAGGUUUUUGUAGUUUAUAUCAAAUGUAUUGGAUGUCAUAAAUGUUGUAUAUAGUACAAUACUACUAACAUUUGUGUUCUUCCCUUGUUUGUCAAAGUGUAUUUAAUUAAAAUGAAUGGCCUCUGCACAGGUUGUUGAUGUACUGCUCAAUUAAACUGAACCAGCUGACUUGGAUUCACUCUUAUGCCACAGAACCUAUUGUUAUUGCUAUAUAUAUCUUUUUUUAAGCAGGAAAAAAAGGCAAUGUGUAAUAUUUCAAAGAAACUUAAAUUGUAUUGAUGAUCUGGGGACAUGACUUGGUGAGUGUCUGUGUUUAUUUUACAGGUUAAGAGAACAACAGUAGUUGGUUCAGUCUGAGGCAUGACUAUACAAUCAGUGUGUUUACAUGAUGGUAUAAUUCGAAUCUUUGCUUAGUCGGACUAUGCUAUCUUUUGGGGCAAGUGCUAUUAUCCCAAUAUACAUGGCAGUGAAUAAAUCGAAUCAUUGGCCGAAAGCAUGUCAUAUCCAUAACGAUAGGUGGCGCUGUUUUCAUUACAACUAGUGGUGAUACAGCCCUUUCCGCUUCACCUCUUCACCACUACCAAUAACAACAACAGUUCAUUGAGCAUGAAUCGCGUCUGUUCAUCGGUCCAAAAAUGCGUGUUGCCUCUUGGGUUGUUUGUUUGUUUGUUUGUUUCUGCCGGGCCGAUGUGUUUAUAAGUUACAUUAUUCAAAGGUGAAAGAUAAAAGGCGAGAGAAACGCACGCACAUUCACACACGCGCGCAAAUAAUGGGUUACAGCCUAAACGCAUUGCCCUUCUGCCAGUUGCAUCAAAUUGUUUUAGUACUUCUUUGCUGUCGAUUUCCAAAUCUGUGUGAAUAUUCAUGAGAGCAAGUCCAGUCAGUCUUUUCGUAGAUAGAUACAAGACCUUCAGGACGCAAUGAAUGUUUGGGUAGAAAUUUGCCGAACUUUCCAGGGCUUGAUAAAGUUCACUGCGUAACUCAUUUAGCUGUUUCCAGCUCUGUAUCUGCAUCGUCAACGCUGGGCAUUAGUUGUCUGUACUCCGAUUUUAUAGUUUCCCCAUUGUAAUAAAUAUAGAUAUUUUUUUUUUUCUUCUCGCGUAGCAGAAGGUACGCACAGUGCGUACGGCUGCAUGCGCCACUGGAACUCUGCAAUUAAUACAAUACAUAAUAGGCUAAUUGAUACAAUAUCUCCUCGUUUGAGUGUGGUUGUUUGAGUGCAAUGGGAGUGUAUGAUCGAUGUUGUCUAUAAAGGUAUUUAGGUAAAGGUAUUUACGGGAAAAUAUCUCAAUCCACCUGUCACGUCUCUGUCUUUAGAGGGCAGCGCCAAAUAACCGAACAAAACUCAACUCACGCUUGCCUCACGGGCACAGUACCAAAUUUCAUCAUAUUUGAAAAAAUGAAGGACAAAUUAGUUGUGAAUAGUAUCACCGAGUUUGACAGGUAUUGGUCAGGUAAUAGCCGAGUGACAGCUGAUUUGCUUUCUGAUUUGACAGUACUUAUUCGUGGUUUUUUUCAGCGCCAGAUAACUGAACAAAACUAAACUCACGCGUGCCUCGCGGGCACAAUACCAAAUUUCAUCAUAUUUGAUAGAAUGAAGGACAAAUUAGUUGUGAAUAGUAUCACCGAGUUUGAUAGGUAUUGGUCAGGUAAUAGCCGAGUGACAGCUGAUUUGCUUUCUGAUUUGACAGUACUUAUUCGUGGUUUUUUUCAGCGCCAGAUAACUGA
ensembl:lncRNA